GACGAACCGUGCGAACGUUAUUCGGAAUCAUUGGGCUUAAAGCGCGUGUAGGCGGAUGGGAACGUCGGUGUUGAAAGCCCCUGGCUCAACCAGGGAACCGGCGCCGAAACGACCCGUCUGGAGGGACAUAGGGGGACCUGGAACUUCCGGUGGAGCGGUGAAAUGCGUUGAGAUCGGAAGGAACGCCCGUGGCGAAAGCGAGGUCCUGGAUGUUUUCUGACGCUGAGACGCGAAAGCUAGGGUAGCGAACUGG
rnacentral:rRNA from 1 species